rnacentral:rRNA from 1 species
UACGUAGGGGGCGAGCGUUGUCCGGAUUUACUGGGCGUAAAGCGCGUGUAGGCGGCUGCUUAAGUCGGGUGUGAAAGCCCGGGGCUCAACCCCGGGAUGCCGCCCGAGACUGGGCGGCUUGAGGUCGGAAGAGGGGAGUGGAAUUCCAGGUGUAGCGGUGAAAUGCGUAGAGAUCUGGAGGAACACUCGUGGCGAAGGCGGCUCCCUGGUCCGAUUCUGACGCUGAGACGCGAAAGCGCGGGGAGCAAACAGG